rnacentral:sRNA from 1 species
GUUCCUCACGGCGUCCCCGCCUCCUCGGUGCGGGCAGGGAGUAUGAGCCUGAUGUGGGCAGAAUCCAGAUGAGCUGGCCAGUGCUGUGAAGGAGCUGCGAGCACCCCCGAGAGCUGUGAGAUGGCGCCAAAAACCAAGAAGAGAUGGAAAGUGACACUACCUGAGAAGCCUGUUAAACUAGCUUCACAUACCAGAGACACCACAGGUGUAUCUCAGAUGUUCCCUUCUUCAAAGGCUAGAACAAAGUCCCUCCUGGGUGAUGAUGUCUUCAGCACCAUGGCAGGCCUGGAAGAAGCUGAUGCUGAGGUUUCAGGUAUCUCAGAGGCAGACCCACAGGCUCUGCUCCAGGCCAUGAAGGACCUGGACGGCAUGGAUGCUGAUAUCUUAGGUCUGAAGAAAUCUAAUCCAGCCCCUAGCAAAAAAGCUGCAAAGGACCCUGGGAAAGGAGAGCUGCCCAGCCACCCCAAGCCUGCAGGGGUCGCCAUUCCCACCAAGAAGUCACCUCUGUCUCCCAGCAGCUCUGGGCAUCAGAACAGGAGGUUUUCCUCUGAAGACUUGGAAGACCCGUUCGGAGGACUUCUCUCCUAUGAUGAAGAAGGAAUCACCAAGAAGCCGCCUGUGACAGAGAGUAAAACAGCUUCUGACAAGAGCCCCAGCACAGUCAGAGAUCAAGGUCCCUCUAUUCCUCUAACUCCUGGGGACACCCCCAUCCGAAAAAAAGAAGAAUUGUUGUUUGACGAUGGGGAUGACAUCAUGGCCACCUUGGGGUUUGGAGACAGCCCCAAAGCAGAGAAGAGGCAGAUAGGAGACCAGGAAGGGCCUCGCCCUGCUCGCUCCACGCUGGAUGAGCUGCUGGGUCGAGGCACGGCCACCAAACUCCUGGCCCGCCCGGGCACCGGGGAGCACAGGGAGUUCAAGCUAGACAAGAAGUACCAGAGGCCACAGGACAGUGAAGAUGCGUGGGGUGACGAGGACUUCACCUUUGGAGCCUAUCAGCCCACCGUGGUCUCCUCUGAGGGCCGGCAGUCCCGCCGGCAGUCUGUCAGUAGGUUCUUAGCAGACCGUGGCCCAGACCCCAAGGGAGAACCAGGCUCCAAACAGAGCCCUCCAACGGCUUCCAGCCCCAUCCAGCCCAGGAAGGGAGGAGCUGACUGGUUGGGCCUCAAGGAUGAGGACUUGGACCUGCUCCCUGCCUCACCCACCAGAGAGGCCCGUCGGGAAAGCUCAGUGCCUGUCACGCCCUCAGUGCCUCCUCCUGCAAGCCAGCACUCCACGCCAGCUGGGCUGCCCCCCUCCAGGGCAAAGCCACCAACUGAAGGUGCAGGGUCCCCUGCCAAAGCCAGCCAGGCUUCCAAGCUGCGAGCCUCCAAGGAGGAGAAAGAGGAGGACUGGCUGAGCCAUGCCCUAUCUCGGAAGAAGUCCCAAGGCCUGGCCAGGGAGCAGCAUGCUGGGACCUCUGAGGGCCUGAGUUUGGCGGGGACAGCGGGCCAUCCCCCUUCUGGCAGCCAACCUCUCACCAGCACACAAGGGCUUGAGCACGCAGCUGCUGGAGGGAGCUCUGGAACAACUGCACGAGAAAGACCGUGUGUCAGGCCUGGCAUCUCAGGGUCCCCUGUGACUCGGAACCAUGCCGCCUCAGCACUCCCUACAGGUUCCCCAAAGAGAGGAACAGCCCCUGGAGACCUCUCGGCCACUGAGUCUGCCACAUGUUUCCCGAGCACCCAGGAACCCACAGAGCCUUCCAUCCCCGUCCAGCCCCUGCUCCCAGAGUCCCUGGCCCAGAGCCUGCUGCCGGGCACAGAAUACCAGAAGCAGCUCCUGGCAGCACAGGUGCAGCUUCAGAGCGGCCCCGCCGAGCUCCAGGCCGAGCUGCUGCAGAGCCAGGCCCGGCUGGCAGAGCUGGAGGCCCAGGUGAGGGGCAGCGGGGCCGUUGGCGCUGUGGGCAGGGUUGUGACGGGAGGGGACACUGAGAGUGGCUGGAAGCUUCCCCAGGAGGAAGGAGGGGCUGUUGGCACAGGGCAGCGUGGAGUACAGCCACCUCCCCUCCCUGGUCGCUGGCCCUCCUGCCGUCUCCCAGGUGCGGAAGCUGGAGCUAGAACGGGCCCAGCAUGAGCUGCUGCUGGGGAGUCUGCAGCAGCAGCACCAGGCAGACCUGGAGUUCAUCGAGAGUGCACACAGAAGCCGCAUCAAGGUGCUAGAAACAUCGUACCAGCAACGGGAGGAGCGGCUCCAGAGAGAGAACGAGGAGCUGUCAGCUCGGUAUCUGUCGCACUGCCAGGAGGCCGAACAGGCCCGUGCUGAGCUUACAGCCCAGCACCAGCGGCGCUUGGCGGCCAUGGCACAGGAGAAGGACCAGGAAAUGGAGCGGCUCCGGGAGCUGCAGCGGGCGUCCAUCCUAGACAUGCGCAGAGACCAUGAGGAGCAGCUGCAGCGGCUAAAGCUGCUGAAGGACCGAGAGGUCGAUGCGGCCACCAGUGCCACCUCCCACACGCGGUCCCUGAAUGGCAUCAUCCACCAGAUGGAGAAGUUCUCCAGCAGCCUGCACGAGCUGUCCUCCCGCGUGGAGGCCUCGCACCUCACCACCUCCCAGGAGCGGGAGCUGGGGAUCCGGCAGCGUGACGAGCAGCUGCGGGGUACGCCCUCCCCUCUCAGCCACCCGGGCUUCUGGUGGGAAGGGGAGCAGCUGCUGAGCACCCUGUGGGUUGCCCCCAGCACUGCAGGAGCGGCUGGGCCAACAGCAGCGGGACAUGGAGGAGGAGCGGAGCCGGCAACAGGAGGUCAUCGGGAAGAUGGAGGCGCGGCUAAAUGAGCAGAGCCGGCUGCUGGAGCAGGAACGCUGGCGGGUGACUGCCGAGCAGUCUAAGGCGGAGUCCAUGCAGCGCGCCCUAGAGGAGCAAAGGAAGGUCACCGCCCAGCAGAUGGCCAUGGAAAGGGCGGAGCUGGAGCGGGCCAAGAGCGCCUUGCUGGAGGAGCAGAAGUCUGUCAUGCUCAAGUGCGGGGAGGAGCGGCGGCGCCUGGCUGCCGAGUGGGCGGAGUUCUCCGCGCAGCAAAAGCUGAGCUGAGCUGAAGAUCAGGGCCAGCGAGCUCCGGGCCGAGGAGAAGCAGCUGGCAGCGGAGAGAGCAGCCCUGGAGCAGGAGCGGCAGGAGCUGCGGCUGGAGAAGGAGAGGAUCAACGCCACCGCCCUGCGUGUCAAGCUCCGCGCUGAGGAGGUGGAGAGCAUGAGCAAGGUGCUGCUCGGGCACAUGGGCAUGGGCGCAGCUGAGCCCAGGCAGCCCUGACCCAGGCGGCCUCCCUGCAGGUGGCCUCCAAGAAGUACGAGGAGGGGGAGCGGGCAUUGUGCGAGGCCCGGCAGGUGCAGGCAGAGCAGCAGGCCCGGUUGCAGGCGGUGCAGCAACAGCAGGAGCGGCUGCGGAAGCAGGAGCAGCACAUGCACCAGGAGCAUCUGAGUCUGGCCCAGCAGAGGCUGCAACUGGACCGCGCACGACAGGACCUGCCCUCCAGCCUCGUGGGUCUGUUCCCCAGGGCCCAGGGCCCUGCAGCCUCCAGCCAGAAUGCCCUCAUGCCUCCUGCUCCCACCACUCGUUGGUGCAGCCAGCCACCGACUGGCCUGGACCCCAGCCCCUUGCACCUCCAUGCCAGGCUGGUGCUGCUGAGGCACAUGGCAGAGCAGGACCGUGACUUCUUGGAGAAUGAACAGUUCUUCCUGGAGACCCUGAAGAAAGGGUCCUACAAUUUGACAUCUCAUUCAGCCUGAGUGGGACCCCAGCCAAUUCCCCAACAGAGGGUUUGGACCCCAGAACUCUCCUGUUCCUCCGGCUGCCUCCAUGGAGGCAGUGCCUGGGGAGGAUUCUGAGAUGCUUCAGGCCUGAUGACAGCUCUUCCAUGGACAGGGUGCAAGUGCAUCCUUUCCAAAUGUGCCAGCCCGGGGCAGCCCCUGCCUCUGGGGCUCUGUGGUGUAGGCUGUCUUACCACGGCUUCGGCUGCCCUGCCUCAAAGCCAUUGGCUUGGAUCUGAGGGUCUGAGUUGGCAGCAAGGACCCCCAGCUGUCACUGGGCUCUGUGGGCUCCCCCUACUCCACAGGUAGACUGUUGUGGGCUCUUUUUGCCUGGGCCUCUUCUGAGGCAGGAGCUUUCUUGAGGGAUGCCACAAACAGCCUUCCCUACUCCCUGCCAGAGCAGUUCCCUCCCUGAUGAGCUGGAGAAGGGCCCUCUGGCCUCCUGAUAGUACAGGGAGGGCACCAGCUAGAUCCUCCCUUGUGGUGUGAGAUGUUCCUGGAAUUCAGCCAGGCCCUCCUCCUCCUGGGCUUGCCCAGAGCCCCCACCCUAUUCCCAGCAUUGCCCGAAGGACCAACCAGUUUGGGUGAACAGUGGCCUCCUCAGCUUCUUCCCCAUUUGGAUGCCCCACUGGCAGCGGAGGGAACUGUGGUGUGGGGAGGGACGAGGAGGGAAUGCGCCUCUGUGCUGCUCACCUGCCCAAAGCCACAGCUCAGUGGGUGUGCAGUGGAGGUGACAAGGAAUCAAUCACAACUAGCAGAGAUUUCUUUGAUCCUCCUCCACUCCCGCUGCUUCACUUGACUAAGCUUAAAAAAACUGCUUUUGCCAUGGCU